rnacentral:rRNA from 1 species
UAGGGAAUCUUCGGCAAUGGACGAAAGUCUGACCGAGCAACGCCGCGUGAGUGAAGAAGGUUUUCGGAUCGUAAAACUCUGUUGUUAGAGAAGAACAAGGACGUUAGUAACUGAACGUCCCCUGACGGUAUCUAACCAGAAAGCCACGGCUAACUACGUGCCAGCAGCCGCGGUAAUACGUAGGUGGCAAGCGUUGUCCGGAUUUAUUGGGCGUAAAGCGAGCGCAGGCGGUUUCAUAAGUCUGAUGUGAAAGCCCCCGGCUCAACCGGGGAGGGUCAUUGGAAACUGGGAGACUUGAGUGCAGAAGAGGAGAGUUGAAUUCCAUGUGUAGCGGUGAAAUGCGUAGAUAUAUGGAGGAACACCAGUGGCGAAGGCGGCUCUCUGGUCUGUAACUGACGCUGAGGCUCGAAAGCGUGGGGAGCAAACAGG